AAAAUACUUAUAACUCCUUAAUUAAGCCUUAUUGAAUAUAUGAACUUUUUUUAUCGUUUUGAUAUCUAGAAUCUACCCUUCAAAGGUGUUCCAUAUUUUUAUAAACAUUCUGUAUAUUUAUUCCGGCAAAUAUCGACU